rnacentral:rRNA from 1 species
UACGAAGGGGGCUAGCGUUGUUCGGAAUUACUGGGCGUAAAGCGCGCGCAGGCGGUCCUUCAAGUCAGAGGUGAAAGCCCAGAGCUCAACUCUGGAAUUGCCUUUGAGACUGAGUGGCUUGAGUACGAGAGAGGUGAGUGGAAUUCCCAGUGUAGAGGUGAAAUUCGUAGAUAUUGGGAAGAACACCGGUGGCGAAGGCGGCUCACUGGCUCGUAACUGACGCUCAUGCACGACAGCGUGGGGAUCAAACAGG